UACGGAGGAUGCGAGCGUUAUCCGGAUUUAUUGGGUGUAAAGGGAGCGUAGGCGGCGCGUUAAGUCUGAUGUGAAAACCCGAGGCUCAACCACGGGAGUGCAUUGGAAACUGGCGUGCUGGAGUGCCGGAGAGGUAAGCGGAAUUCCUAGUGUAGCGGUGAAAUGCGUAGAUAUUAGGAGGAACACCAGUGGCGAAGGCGGCUUACUGGACGGCAACUGACGCUGAGGCUCGAAAGCGUGGGGAGCAAACAGG
rnacentral:rRNA from 1 species